rnacentral:tRNA from 1 species
UCCCACGUGGUCUAGUGGUUAGGAUACCUGGCUCUCACCCAGGAGGUCCUGGUUCGAUUCCCAGCAUGGGAU